CUCUGGUCCCUAUUUUAGUUUGCUCUUUGAACUCCCAACAGUUUAUUGUUAUUGUUAUUACUUUUAGUUUGGCACAGAUUCUUUCAAAAAUUAUCUUGGUUCCCGUUUUUGAAGUCUUUUUCUUGGGCAAAAGAAAAAACUUUUGCCGACUAUAGUUUGUAACGUGAUCCACCUCUGCACCGUCACUUAUUGAAGGAUGCAGCCCGGGGAGCAUCAUCAGCUCUGAUCCCAGCCGCAGCCUGGAUGUGAGGCACAGCAGCAGGACCUGGAGAUCUAAGUUCCCAGAUCCAAGAGACUUCUGUAACUGACACCUGAGCUGGAGAGAGCUAAAAUAGAGGCAAAGAACAGACAACAUCUUCUGAGACUUUCUUUAAAGGGUAAGUUUUCCUUGUUUUUCAUUUGUUGUGUGGUUAGUGGCUUAGCAAAGCAUAUGCCGUGGGUUAAGCGGCUGAAUAUUUUACUAUUUUACUUCUGAGUAACAGCACCUUCAGUCAUACAGGGAUCAAUACAAAUGACAGACAUGCUCCUCCUCCCCCAAACACCCCACAACAUUCAUCCUCUAGAGUAGCAGCAAGCAAAUUUUGGGUAUAUUAAUGUACUAGCAUCACCCAAGAUGAGGACCAAGAGGAAAAACCUUAAUGACUAAAAUAGAAGUAGUUACCAAUCACACCCAAACACAUUCACAUAGAGUCAGUUCAUACAAAGACAUACAUGCUCAAAAUGAGAAUUGGAGUUAGGAGAAGCUGAGACAAUGGAAACCUGUGUGCAAAGUGCAUGAUUCAUAAACCAAAAUGUGGGCAAUGGAUUACAUAUAAGAGUCAGUAGAAUACUGUUCUUUAAAAUAAUUCAAAAUGCUUGAAAAGGAUUGACUUAAAAAAAAUAACCCAACAUACAUAUUCCUUUAGUCAUGAAAUCAUUCCUUGUAAUGAUAACCAAGGUAAAGGAGACUCCCAAGAGUGAACUGUAGGGUGAUAAAGAAGAACAGGGGGAGGUUUACAGUGCAGAGGAAGGCAUUAUGAAGCUGACAAGAGUAUCUAUGUCAUCAGCAUUAUCAUGAAGCAAAGUAAGGAAGACAAAAUAUUGACAGAUAUACUAAUGUGG
rnacentral:lncRNA from 1 species